rnacentral:tRNA from 1 species
GCGGCACUAGCUCAGUUGCCAGAGCGCAACCUUGCCAAGGUUGAGGUCACGAGUUCGAGCCGCGUGUGCCGCUCCA